rnacentral:rRNA from 1 species
GACGAACGCUGGCGGCGUGCCUAAUACAUGCAAGUAGAACGCUGAAGGAGGAGCUUGCUUCUCUGGAUGAGUUGCGAACGGGUGAGUAACGCGUAGGUAACCUGCCUGGUAGCGGGGGAUAACUAUUGGAAACGAUAGCUAAUACCGCAUAAUAGCAGUUAUUGCAUGAUAACUGUUUGAAAGGUGCAAUUGCAUCACUACCAGAUGGACCUGCGUUGUAUUAGCUAGUUGGUGAGGUAACGGCUCACCAAGGCGACGAUACAUAGCCGACCUGAGAGGGUGAUCGGCCACACUGGGACUGAGACACGGCCCAGACUCCUACGGGAGGCAGCAGUAGGGAAUCUUCGGCAAUGGACGGAAGUCUGACCGAGCAACGCCGCGUGAGUGAAGAAGGUUUUCGGAUCGUAAAGCUCUGUUGUAAGAGAAGAACGAGUGUGAGAGUGGAAAGUUCACACUGGA